CCUACGGGUGGCAGCAGUGAGGAAUAUUGGUCAAUGGCCGGGAGGCUGAACCAGCCAAGUCGCGUGAGGGAAGACGGCCCUACGGGUUGUAAACCUCUUUUGUCAGGGAGCAAGGUGCAGGUCGGGACCUGCUGUGAGAGUACCUGAAGAAAAAGCAUCGGCUAACUCCGUUCCAGCAGCCGCGGUAAUACGGAGGAUGCGAGCGUUGUCCGGAUUUACUGGGUGUAAGGGGAGCGUAGACGGUGGGACAAGUCUGAAGUGAAAGCACGGGGCUCAACCCCGGGACUGCUUUGGAAACUGGCUGACUGGAGUGCUGGAGAGGCAAGCGGAAUUCCUAGUGUAGCGGUGAAAUGCGUAGAUAUUAGGAAGAAAACCAGUGGCGAAGGCGGCUUGCUGGACAGUAACUGACGUUGAGGCUCGAAAGCGUGGGUAUCGAACAGGAUUAGAUACCCUGGUAGUC
rnacentral:rRNA from 1 species